GUGGGGAGCUCCGUGGCUCUGACCCCCUAACCCCGGGAUUAAGGAGCCUAGGGCCGGGGCCCCGGGUACCAGGACGUGACUCUCUCCUCGGUUUAUCAGCAUCCUUCAGGGUGCCCUGGGACGCAGCGGUUGGUCCAGUUUUGUCGAGGGAACGCUUAGGUCCUGCUGGGGCCAGUGCAAAUUAUAUAAGCUUUGAAUCCCACAAGAUCGGGAUCCAUUCCUACCAAGCUCACUGCCUGCCUACCCUGCCAUGAUUCCUUGAUUUCUUGGAAGCAGCCAUUUCCUACAGCUACAGUGGUUAAGAAUUCGCCGCCAAUGCAGGGGACACGGGUUCGAGCCCUGGUCUGGGAGGAUCCCACGUGCCGCGGAGGAACUAAGACUAUGCGCCACAACUACUGAGCCUGCGCUCUAGAGCCCGCGAGCCACAACUACUGAGCCCGCGUGCCACAACUACUGAAGUCUGCGCGCCUAGAGCCCGAGCUCCGCAACAAGAGAAGCCACCGCAAUGAGAAGUCCAUGCACUGCAACGAAGACUAGCCCCCGCUCACCACAACUAGGGGAAGCCCACGCACAGCAACAAAGACCCAACGCAGCCAAAAAUAAAUUAAUUAAUUAAU